rnacentral:rRNA from 1 species
ACGAGGACCUACCGGAGGGCAAGACUAAUGCCAGCCGCUGCGGUAAUUUUAGCUCCGGUAGCGUAUACUAAAAUUGUUGCGGUUAAAAAGCUCGUAGUCGGACCUCUGCUCCGGACGCCGGGAGCCGCCCGCGCGGUGUCCCGCGCGCCUCCGGGCAUUCUGCUCGCCACCUCGCGGGGUGAUUGUCAAAGGUCGUCCCCGGGUGGAAAGCGGUGGUCGCCUUGCCAAAAUUAGAGUGCUCCGAGCAGGCACGUCGCCUGGAUAGUAAUGCACGGAACGACGCAAGACGCCCUCGGUGCCGUGUUUCGCGGCCUGGUCGACGGCAACCGAGGGAAUGAUCGAUAGGAGCUGACGGGGGCAUUCGUAUUCCGACGCUAGAGGUGAAAUUCUUGGACCGUCGGAAGACGACCCACUGCGAAGGCAUUUGCCAAGAAUGCUUCCAUUGACCAAGAACGAAAGUGAGAGGCUCAAAGAAGAUUAGAUACCUUUGUAGUUCUGACCGUAAACCCUACCGGCCAGCGAUCCGGCUGCGUACGA